GGGGAAUAUUGCGCAAUGGAGAAGAACUCUGACGCAGCAAUACCGCGUGAAUGACGAAGGCCUUCGGGUCGUAAAAUUCUGUUAUUGGGGAAGAAAUAAAUGACGGUACCCAAUGAGCAAGUCCCGGCUAACUACGUGCCAGCAGCCGCGGUAAUACGUAGGGGACAAGCGUUGUCCGGAAUCACUGGGCGUAAAGGGCACGCAGGCGGUCUAUCAAGCAGGAUGUGAAAGGCAGGAGCUCAACUCCUUGCACGGCAACCUGAACUGACAGACUAGAGUAUUGGAGAGGCAGGCAGAAUUCCUGGUGUAGCGGUGAAAUGCGUAGAGAUCAGGAGGAAUACCGGAGGCGAAGGCGGCCUGCUGGACAAAUACUGACGCUGAGGUGCGAAAGCGUGGGGAGCAAAC
rnacentral:rRNA from 1 species